UACGAAGGGGGGCUAGCGUUGCUCGGAAUCACUGGGCGUAAAGCGCACGUAGGCGGCUUGUUAAGUCAGGGGUGAAAUCCUGGAGCUCAACUCCAGAACUGCCUUUGAUACUGGCGAGCUUGAGUUCGGGAGAGGUGAGUGGAACUGCGAGUGUAGAGGUGAAAUUCGUAGAUAUUCGCAAGAACACCAGUGGCGAAGGCGGCUCACUGGCCCGAUACUGACGCUGAGGUGCGAAAGCGUGGGGAGCAAACAGGG
rnacentral:rRNA from 1 species